UACGGGGGGGGCAAGCGUUGUUCGGAAUUACUGGGCGUAAAGGGCUCGUAGGCGGCCAACUAAGUCAGACGUGAAAUCCCUCGGCUUAACCGGGGAACUGCGUCUGAUACUGGAUGGCUUGAGUUUGGGAGAGGGAUGCGGAAUUCCAGGUGUAGCGGUGAAAUGCGUAGAUAUCUGGAGGAACACCGGUGGCGAAGGUGGCAUCCUGGACCAACACUGACGCUGAGUGAGCGAAAGCCAGGGGAGCAAACGGG
rnacentral:rRNA from 1 species